AUAACUCAGUGGCAGAGUACAAGACUUGCAUGCAUGAGAUCCCAGGUUUGAUUCCUGGU
rnacentral:tRNA from 1 species